GACGAACGCUGGCGGCGUGCUUAACACAUGCAAGUCGAACGGAAAGGCCUGCUUUCCCUUGUGGAUUGCGGGUACUCGAGUGGCGAACGGGUGAGUAACACGUGAGUGAUCUGCCCCCAACUUGGGUAUAAGCCUGGGAAACUGGGUCUAAUUCCCGAUAGGACUGCAGGGUGGUGCCUGUGGUGGAAAACGAUUUUCUAGUGGUUGGGGAUGAGCUCGCGGCCUAUCAGCUUGUUGGUGGGGUAAUGGCCUACCAAGGCGGCGACGGGUAGCCGGCCUGGGAGGGUGGACGGCGACAUUGGGACUGAGAUACGGCCCAGACUCCUACGGGAGGCAGCAGUGGGGAAUAUUGCACAAUGGGCGGAAGCCUGAUGCAGCGACGCCGCGUGGGGGAUGACGGCCUUCGGGUUGUAAACUCCUUUCGACCGCGAGGAAGCCACCUGGUUGGAAGGGUGGUGACGGUAGUGGUAGAAGAAGCACCGGCUAACUACGUG
rnacentral:rRNA from 1 species